AUUGAACGCUGGCGGCACGCCUAACACAUGCAAGUCGAGCGGCAGCGCGAAUAGUAGCAAUACUAUUUGGCGGCGAGCGGCGGACGGGUGAGGAACACGUAGGAAUCUACCCUCAAGCGGGGGACAACCAAGGGAAACUUUGGCUAAUACCGCAUAAUCUCGAGAGAGCAAAGCUGCAGCAAUGUGGCACUUGAGGAGGAGCCUGCGUCCGAUUAGCUAGUUGGUAGGGUAAUGGCCUACCAAGGCAAUGAUCGGUAACUGGUCUGAGAGGACGACCAGUCACACUGGGACUAAGACACGGCCCAGACUCCUACGGGAGGCAGCAGUGGGGAAUCUUGGACAAUGGGGGCAACCCUGAUCCAGCGAUGCCGCGUGAGUGAAGAAGGCCCUCGGGUCGUAAAGCUCUUUAGGUUGGGAAGAAGGUUGCUUGAGGAAAUGCGAGCAAUUUGACGGUACCGACAGAAUAAGCACCGGCAAACUCUGUGCCAGCAGCCGCCGUAAAAC
rnacentral:rRNA from 1 species